rnacentral:rRNA from 1 species
AGGGNAUGCCUCAGUACGGCGAGUGAGCGGCAACAGCUCAAAUUUGAAAUCUGGCCGCAAGGUCCGAGUUGUAAUUUGCAGAGGAUGCUUUUGGCGAGGUGCCUUCCGAGUUCCCUGGAACGGGACGCCAUAGAGGGUGAGAGCCCCGUACGGUUGGACCACCGAGCCUCUGUAAAGCUCCUUCGACGAGUCGAGUAGUUUGGGAAUGCUGCUCUAAAUGGGAGGUGUACGUCUUCUAAAGCUAAAUACCGGCCAGAGACCGAUAGCGCACAAGUAGAGUGAUCGAAAGAUGAAAAGCACUUUGAAAAGAGGGUUAAAAAGUACGUGAAAUUGUUGAAAGGGAAGCGUUUAUGACCAGACUUGGGCUUGGUUGAACAUCCGGCGUUCUCGCCGGUGCACUCUGCCAGUCCAGGCCAGCAUCAGUUUGUCCCGGGGGAUAAAGGCGGUGGGAAUGUGGCUCCCCCGGGAGUGUUAUAGCCCGCCGUGCAAUGCCCUGGGACGGACUGAGGAACGCGCUUCGGCACGGAUGCUGGCGUAAUGGUCAUCAACGACCCGUCUUGAACACGGACCA